UACGGAGGGUGCAAGCGUUAUCCGGAUUUAUUGGGUUUAAAGGGUGCGCAGGCGGGUUAUUAAGUCAGUGGUGAAAUCCUUCAGCUUAACUGGAGAACUGCCAUUGAUACUGGUAACCUUGAGUACAGAUGAAGUGGGCGGAAUAAGUCAUGUAGCGGUGAAAUGCAUAGAUAUGACUUAGAACACCGAUUGCGAAGGCAGCUCACUAAACUGUAACUGACGCUGAGGCACGAAAGCGUGGGGAGCGAACAGG
rnacentral:rRNA from 1 species